rnacentral:snoRNA from 1 species
UCAUAGUACCCCAUGAGGCCGGAUUCCCUGGGCCUCUCAUAGUACCCCAUGCCAGAGCAAACUGUAGCCCUGAACCAUUGCCUGGCCUCUAUGCCCAUAGGCUGCUGGCACUGAAAUGGGUUGCACAGUA